UACGGGGGGGGCAAGCGUUGUUCGGAAUUACUGGGCGUAAAGGGCUCGUAGGCGGCCAACUAAGUCAGACGUGAAAUCCCUCGGCUUAACCGGGGAACUGCAUCUGAUACUGGAUGGCUUGAGUUCGGGAGAGGGAUGCGGAAUUCCCGGUGUAGCGGUGAAAUGCGUAGAGAUGUGGAGGAACACCGAUGGCGAAGGCAGCCUCCUGGGCCAGCACUGACGCUCAUGCACGAAAGCAUGGGGAGCGAACAGG
rnacentral:rRNA from 1 species